AUCAAAUGUGACACUGGUCCUGCACAGCGGGAAAACAAAUCGGCACCACUUGUACUUCCAGCUGGAGGAACAGUCUGGCAGUGCUGCCCAAGGGGUGCUGGACAUUGACUCCCCUCCCACGGUUUUCACGUCAUCCGGACCUCGAACAUUCUAAACAGAGAGCCGAGAACCAGAAUCCACGAACAUUCAUGGGCAAAAGCUGUUCAGUGAAUUCGGGACUCAGUAACUCCAUUAGUGACUGCACCAACACAGACUUUUUCCAAAAGUCUCCACAUUUGUCCAGUUGUUUCUUCCUUAGUCCAAUGCCAACGCUCCAUCAAUACUAUCGUCACCCCCAUUCUGCCUCUUCCAAAAGCCCGCAUCAGUCAUGGAGUCCUCUUCACCUGAAAGAAGUAAGUGUGAAGACUUUUGAUUUUGACAGCACU